AAUCACUUCGCUAACCUAUUGGGAAAAAAGGAAGAAAGACAGUGCUCCAUCAACUAGGAGGAGUUGGAUAUGCCAAAUAUGCAAAACGAGGGGCUGGACAAUCCUUUCUUGGAACCUGAAGUCUGGGCUGCUAUAAUGGCAUCUCCAUCUGAGAAAGUGCCAGGGGCGGACGGCUUCUCGGGAAUUUUCUUCAGAGCUUGCUGGGGCACUAUAAAAAAUGAUGUUAUGGCAGUUUUUGAUCACUUCUACAACCUAGCCGAAGGCAACUUUGCUGAAAUCAACUCAGCUAUGAUCGCUCUCAUUCCCAAGAAGGAUGGGGCCACCAGAAUGAAUGAUUUCAGGCCUAUAAGCCUGAUACAUUCCAUUGCAAAACUGAUCACAAAAGUGUUAUCCAUGAGACUGGCGGCCGUCAUCGAUAAGUUUAUCUCGCCUGUUAAAAUGACCUUCUAGCGCGGGAGAUGUAUCCAUGACAGCUAUCUAUAUGUGCAGAAUUCUGUUCGAACUCUUCAUAGAAAUAAAACUCCAGCGCUUCUUCUCAAGUUAGAUAUAGCUAGGGCCUUCGAUAGCAUAUCAUGGGAAUAUCUUUUAGAGCUGCUUCAGAUGCUGAGUUUCUCGGCCAGAUGGAGGGAUUGGAUCGCACUGUUGCUGUCUUCUUCCACCUGGUCCUGCAUCAUCAACGGCGACCUAGGAGACAUCAUCAUCCAUCUUCGUGGACUCCGGCAAGGGGAUCCCCUCUCGCCGCUGCUCUUCAUUCUUUGCAUAGACCCUCUCCAUCACCUCCUGGAUGCGACCACUAGGGCGGGCGUGUUGAACCCCAUCCCGGGCGCGGCGGCGAGGAUGCGCACAAGCUUAUACGCUGACGACGCCGUAAUCUUCAUCAACCCUGCACGACAAGAAGUGGACAGCCUUGUCGAACUGCUUUGGUUUUUCGGCGACGCUACGGGGCUCCAGGUCAACCUUUCUAAAUCUCUCAUGGCUCCUUGUAACGCCCUCGAUGCGGCUAUAGCUCCUACGUGUCGAGGCAUGACUUAG
rnacentral:rRNA from 1 species